CCCCUGAAGAGUCGUUCUAGACCAGGACGUUGAUAGGCUGGGUGUGGAAGCUGGGUAACCAGUUAAGCUAACCAGUACUAAUUGCUCGUGCGGCUUGACCCU
rnacentral:rRNA from 1 species